rnacentral:lncRNA from 1 species
UGGGGAUCUCCAGCUGCCAGAUCCCAAAAUGCGUAUGGUCUUACUGAGCAGUCAGUGGAAACAGCAGAGUUUCCCUUUCUAUACAUGGCCACGAGAGAGCCGGCUGCUUCUUCAGCCUGCAGAGAGCUGUCUUUGGGCUGGGCUUUGCGUAGGGUGUGCUGGUGGUGGUUGAACUCUGUGACGGCUUCUCAGCUCGGGCAGUUCCAAAUUACAUACGUUAAAAAAAUCAGACGGAACGCCGUAUUUCAAGGCUGCUCAGGAAACCGAAUUCCCUCCUUUCAGCAUUGUACGGCCAGUUCUGCUGCACAGGGGCAGCACUCCUGGAGGUCCGAGGUGGAUCUGGAGCUGGCAUCCCAACUCAAAGGGCAGCUUGGAAGAGACGGGCUUCUACGAGGAGUCCCUUGCUCUGUGGGGGCCACGCAUGGGAGCUGUAGUCUCUGGCAUGUAGGUAAAGGAUGGCUUAGGUUGGAAGAGACCUUAAAGACCACCCAGUUCCAACCUCCCUGCCAUGCAGUGCCACCCACUUGAUUUUGCUGCCCAGGGCCCCAUCCAACCUGGCCUUGGGCACCUCCAG